UGGGGCAGAGACUCAUAAGCACAUUAAUAUUUUCCCUUACAGAGCACCUUUUACCUGAAGAGCUCAAAUUAUGCCAUUGCCAGGAUGCAUUCAUUGUGCUUCACAACACUCCUGAGACACAGGAGAAGUGAACCGAGGCCCAGAGAGGUUGAAGGGUCUGCCUAAAGCCACACAGUAGUAAAUGACAGGACUGGAACUGGAGUCCAAAUACGAUGUCCAAAAAAGAGACGAGAGAAAAGAUGCAGAGAUUAGACUCUGGAAUUCCCCAGUUCCAGUUGAUAUGUCUUGUCUUGCAAUGUUAGACCUGAAUGAAGAAGAACUUCUGUGA
rnacentral:lncRNA from 1 species